rnacentral:rRNA from 1 species
AGAGUUUGAUCCUGGCUCAGAUUGAACNCUGGCGGCAGGCCUAACACAUGCAAGUCGAGCGGUAGCACAGAGAGCUUGCUCUCGGGUGACGAGCGGCGGACGGGUGAGUAAUGUCUGGGAAACUGCCUGAUGGAGGGGGAUAACUACUGGAAACGGUAGCUAAUACCGCAUAACGUCGCAAGACCAAAGUGGGGGACCUUCGGGCCUCAUGCCAUCAGAUGUGCCCAGAUGGGAUUAGCUGGUAGGUGGGGUAACGGCUCACCUAGGCGACGAUCCCUAGCUGGUCUGAGAGGAUGACCAGCCACACUGGAACUGAGACACGGUCCAGACUCCUACGGGAGGCAGCAGUGGGGAAUAUUGCACAAUGGGCGCAAGCCUGAUGCAGCCAUGCCGCGUGUGUGAAGAAGGCCUUCGGGUUGUAAAGCACUUUCAGCGGGGAGGAAGGCGGUGAGGUUAAUAACCUCAUCGAUUGACGUUACCCGCAGAAGAAGCACCGGCUAACUCCGUGCCAGCAGCCGCGGUAAUACGGAGGGUGCAAGCGUUAAUCGGAAUUACUGGGCGUAAAGCGCACGCAGGCGGUCUGUCAAGUCGGAUGUGAAAUCCCCGGGCUCAACCUGGGAACUGCAUUCGAAACUGGCAGGCUAGAGUCUUGUAGAGGGGGGUAGAAUUCCAGGUGUAGCGGUGAAAUGCGUAGAGAUCUGGAGGAAUACCGGUGGCGAAGGCGGCCCCCUGGACAAAGACUGACGCUCAGGUGCGAAAGCGUGGGGAGCAAACAGGAUUAGAUACCCUGGUAGUCCACGCUGUAAACGAUGUCGAUUUGGAGGUUGUGCCCUUGAGGCGUGGCUUCCGGAGCUAACGCGUUAAAUCGACCGCCUGGGGAGUACGGCCGCAAGGUUAAAACUCAAAUGAAUUGACGGGGGCCCGCACAAGCGGUGGAGCAUGUGGUUUAAUUCGAUGCAACGCGAAGAACCUUACCUGGUCUUGACAUCCACAGAACUUACCAGAGAUGGAUUGGUGCCUUCGGGAACUGUGAGACAGGUGCUGCAUGGCUGUCGUCAGCUCGUGUUGUGAAAUGUUGGGUUAAGUCCCGCAACGAGCGCAACCCUUAUCCUUUGUUGCCAGCGGUCCGGCCGGGAACUCAAAGGAGACUGCCAGUGAUAAACUGGAGGAAGGUGGGGAUGACGUCAAGUCAUCAUGGCCCUUACGACCAGGGCUACACACGUGCUACAAUGGCAUAUACAAAGAGAAGCGACCUCGCGAGAGCAAGCGGACCUCAUAAAGUAUGUCGUAGUCCGGAUUGGAGUCUGCAACUCGACUCCAUGAAGUCGGAAUCGCUAGUAAUCGUAGAUCAGAAUGCUACGGUGAAUACGUUCCCGGGCCUUGUACACACCGCCCGUCACACCAUGGGAGUGGGUUGCAAAAGAAGUAGGUAGCUUAACCUUCGGGAGGGCGCUUACCACUUNGNGAUUCAUGACUGGGGUGAAGUCGUAACAAGG